UACGUAGGGCGCAAGCGUUGUCCGGAAUUAUUGGGCGUAAAGAGCUUGUAGGUGGCUUGUCGCGUCUGCCGUGAAAACCCGAGGCUCAACCUCGGGCGUGCGGUGGGUACGGGCAGGCUAGAGUGUGGUAGGGGAGACUGGAACUCCUGGUGUAGCGGUGAAAUGCGCAGAUAUCAGGAAGAACACCGAUGGCGAAGGCAGGUCUCUGGGCCAUUACUGACACUGAGAAGCGAAAGCAUGGGGAGCGAAC
rnacentral:rRNA from 2 species